GUCCACGCCCUAAACGAUGUCAACUGGUUGUUGGACGGCUUGCUGUUCAGUAACGAAGCUAACGCGUGAAGUUUACCGCCUGGGGAGUACGGCCGCAAGGUUGAAACUCAAAGGAAUUGACGGGGGACCCGCACAAGCGGUGGAUGAUGUGGUUUAAUUCGAUGCAACGCGAAAACCUUACCUACCCUUGACAUGUCUAGAAGUUACCAGAGAUGGUUUCGUGCUCGAAAGAGAACUAGAACACAGGUGCUGCAUGGCCGUCGU
rnacentral:rRNA from 1 species